rnacentral:rRNA from 1 species
GAUGAACGCUAGCUACAGGCUUAACACAUGCAAGUCGCGGGGUAACGUGAAGUAAGCUUGCUCACUUUGACGACGACCGGCGCACGGGUGAGUAACGCGUAUCCAACCUGCCCAUGACUACGGCACAGCCCGGCGAAAGUCGGAUUAAUGCGGUAUGUUGUGUGAAGAAGACAUCUGAUUUACACGAAAGGCUUCGGUCGGUUAUGGAUGGGGAUGCGUCCGAUUAGGUAGACGGCGGGGUAACGGCCCACCGUGCCGACGAUCGGUAGGGGUUCUGAGAGGAAGGUCCCCCACACUGGAACUGAGACACGGUCCAGACUCCUACGGGAGGCAGCAGUGAGGAAUAUUGGUCAAUGGGCGCGAGCCUGAACCAGCCAAGUAGCGUGAGGGAAGACUGCCCUAUGGGUUGUAAACCUCUUUAGUCUGGGAAUAAAGUCGGCGACGUGUCGCCGUUUGUAGGUACCAGAAGAAUAAGGACCGGCUAAUUCCGUGCCAGCAGCCGCGGUAAUACGGAAGGUCCGGGCGUUAUCCGGAUUUAUUGGGUUUAAAGGGAGCGCAGGCGGCCUGUUAAGCGGGCAGUUAAAGGCGGUGGCCCAACCAUCGUUAGCUGUCCGAACUGCCGGGCUUGAGUACGUGCGAGGUAUGCGGAAUUCGUGGUGUAGCGGUGAAAUGCUUAGAUAUCACGAAGAACUCCGAUUGCGAAGGCAGCUUACCAGGACGCCACUGACGCUAAAGCUCGAAAGCGCGGGUAUCGAACAGGAUUAGAUACCCCAGUAGUCCUAGCCGUAAACGAUGGAUACUAGGCGCUGUGCGUAUCGACCCGUGCAGUGCUGUAGCUAACGCGUUAAGUAUCCCGCCUGGGGAGUACGUUCGCAAGAAUGAAACUCAAAGGAAUUGACGGGGGCCCGCACAAGCGGAGGAACAUGUGGUUUAAUUCGAUGAUACGCGAGGAACCUUACCCGGGCUCGAACGGCAAGUGAACGAAGUAGAGAUACUGAGGCCCUUCGGGGCGCUUGUCGAGGUGCUGCAUGGUUGUCGUCAGCUCGUGCCGUGAGGUGUCGGCUCAAGUGCCAUAACGAGCGCAACCCUUGUUGUCAGUUACCAGCAUGUAAAGAUGGGGACUCUGGCAAGACUGCCACCGCAAGGUGAGAGGAAGGGGGGGAUGACGUCAAAUCAGCACGGCCCUUACGUCCGGGGCGACACACGUGUUACAAUGGCGGCCACAGAGGGAAGCGACCCUGCGAGGGGGAGCCAAUCCAAAAAAGCCGCCUCAGUUCGGACUGGAGUCUGCAACUCGACUCCACGAAGCUGGAUUCGCUAGUAAUCGCGCAUCAGCCAUGGCGCGGUGAAUACGUUCCCGGGCCU